AGUAACGCGUGGAUAACCUGCCUCACACUGGGGGAUAACAGUUAGAAAUGGCUGCUAAUACCGCAUAAGCGCACAGUACCGCAUGGUACGGUGUGAAAAGCCCAGGUGGUGUGAGAUGGAUCCGCGUCUGAUUAGCCAGUUGGCGGGGUAACGGCCCACCAAAGCGACGAUCAGUAGCCGACCUGAGAGGGUGACCGGCCACAUUGGGACUGAGACACGGCCCAA
rnacentral:rRNA from 1 species